AGUGAACGCUGGCGGUAGGCCUAACACAUGCAAGUCGAACGGCAGCACAGUAAGAGCUUGCUCUUACGGGUGGCGAGUGGCGGACGGGUGAGGAAUACAUCGGAAUCUACUUUUUCGUGGGGGAUAACGUAGGGAAACUUACGCUAAUACCGCAUACGACCUACGGGUGAAAGCAGGGGAUCUUCGGACCUUGCGCGAUUGAAUGAGCCGAUGUCGGAUUAGCUAGUUGGCGGGGUAAAGGCCCACCAAGGCGACGAUCCGUAGCUGGUCUGAGAGGAUGAUCAGCCACACUGGAACUGAGACACGGUCCAGACUCCUACGGGAGGCAGCAGUGGGGAAUAUUGGACAAUGGGCGUAAGCCUGAUCCAGCCAUACCGCGUGGGUGAAGAAGGCCUUCGGGUUGUAAAGCCCUUUUGUUGGGAAAGAAAAGCAGCAGGUUAAUACCCCGCUGUUCUGACGGUACCCAAAGAAUAAGCACUGGCUAACUUCGUG
rnacentral:rRNA from 1 species